UACAGAGGGGGCAAGCGUUGUUCGGAAUUACUGGGCGUAAAGGGCGCGUAGGUGGCCUUCUAAGUUGAACGUGAAAUCCCUGGGCUCAACCCAGGAACUGCGUCCAAGACUGGGAGGCUUGAAUCCGGGAGAGGGAUGCGGAAUUCCAGGUGUAGCGGUGGAAAUGCGUAGAUAUCUGGAGGAACACCGGUGGCGAAGGCGGCAUCCUGGACCGGUAUUGACACUGAGGCGCGAAAGCCAGGGGAGCAAACGGG
rnacentral:rRNA from 1 species